rnacentral:rRNA from 1 species
AUACGGAGGGUGCAAGCGUUAAUCGGAAUUACUGGGCGUAAAGCGUACGUAGGCGGUUAUUUAAGUCAGAUGUGAAAGCCCCGGGCUUAACUUGGGAACUGCAUUUGAAACUGGGUAACUAGAGUUUAGUAGAGGGGAGUGGAAUUUCAGGCGUAGCGGUGAAAUGCGUAGAGAUCUGAAGGAACACCAGUGGCGAAGGCGACUCCCUGGACUAAAACUGACGCUGAGGUACGAAAGCGUGGGUAGCAAACAGGAUUAGAAACCCUUGUAGUCC